rnacentral:rRNA from 1 species
AGCGGAGCGUGUGGUGUAAUUCGAUGCUACACGAAGAACCUUACCUGGGUUUGACAUGCAAGUAGUAGUGAAGCGAAAGCGGAACGACCCUUCGGGGAGCUUGCACAGGUGCUGCAUGGCUGUCGUCAGCUCGUGCCGUGAGGUGUCGGGUUAAGUCCCGUAACGAGCGCAACCCUUGCCCUUAGUUAUACGUGUCUAAGGGGACUGCCCGGGACAACUGGGAGGAAGGUGGGGAUGACGUCAAGUCAGCAUGGCCUUUAUAUCCAGGGCGACACACACGCUACAAUGGCCGGUACAAUGGGUUGCCAAGCCGUGAGCCGGAGCCAAUCCCGCAAAGCUGGUCUAAGUUUGGAUUGUGGGCUGCAACUCGCCCACAUGAAGCUGGAGUUGCUAGUAACCGCGCGUCAGCCAUAGUGCGGUGAAUACGUUCCCGGGGAUUGUACACACCGCCCGUCACGUCAUGGAAGCUGGCAACACCUAAAGCCGGUACGCUAACCCGAAAGGGAGGCCGC